rnacentral:lncRNA from 1 species
UUAUAUAUAUAACAUUUGAGUUUAAAUAGGUUUAAGUAAGAUUUUUUUUUUUUUGAGAGAUAGGUAGCACGUUACUCGCUUCGUCUAUUUUAUUUAGAAAUAAACUUAGCUGAAAAUGUGAAUCAACUAGGAUUCGAACUUGGGAUCUCGGAUACCAACCAUCGAGUCCUUUUCCACUUGCUCUCUUUGCCACUUGCUCUAGAGAUGGUCGAUUGGUAGGUUUAAGUAAGAUUAUUGAUUUUA